UGUAAAAUUGCUACAUGAGAAGACAAGUUGUUAGAUGAAAUUCAAAUAUUCUCUAUGUUUGUGUUGUGUAGGUCAAAAAAUAAUAAACAAAGAUGAUAUUGAUUGUGAUGACCAAGAGAUUCAUUUUAAGACGCAUCAAUCUUCAUCAUCUUUAAAUAAAAAGGAUAAACAUUAUGGAUUUCCAUUAUCUCAAGCAAAAACAAAGAGUUCAAAAUAUUAGUGGUAAGAACUGUCAAAAACUUGUGAUAGCUAUGAAGAAGAGAUUUAUGACAAAUUCGCUCAUGGCCAAAUCUAAUAUGGCAGCUGGAAAAGGCAAAGGAUCUUUUUAGCCUAACUAAGCUAUACAACUUAAUAA
rnacentral:lncRNA from 1 species